GAUCCUGGCUCGGGAUGAACGCUAGCUACAGGCUUAACACAUGCAAGUCGAGGGGCGGCAUGGUCUUAGCUUGCUAAGGCCGAUGGCGACCGGCGCACGGGUGAGUAACACGUAUCCAACCUGCCGUCUACUCUUGGACAGCCUUCUGAAAGGAAGAUUAAUACAAGAUGGCAUCAUGAGUCCGCAUGUUCACAUGAUUAAAGGUAUUCCGGUAGACGAUGGGGAUGCGUU
rnacentral:rRNA from 1 species